GAUGAACGCUAGCUACAGGCUAACACAUGCAAGUCGAGGGGUAGCAGGGUAGCAAUACCGCUGACGACCGGCGCACGGGUGAGUAACACGUAUCCAACCUUCCCAUAACUCGGGGAUAGCCUUUCGAACGAAAGAUUAAUACCCGAUAGUACUUUUUCAAGGCAUCUUGAUAAAGUUAAAGAUUUAUUGUUUAUGGAUGGGGAUGCGUUCCAUUAGAGAGUUGGUUGGGUAACGGCUCACCAAGUCUUCGAUGGAUAGGGGUUCUGGUAGGAAGGUCCCACACAUUGGUACUGAGACACGGAGCAUACUCCUACGGGAGGCAGCAGUGAGGAAUAUUGGUCAAUGGGCGAGAGCCUGAACCAGCCAAGUAGCGUGAAGGAUGAAGGUCUUAUGGAUUGUAAACUUCUUUUGUACGGAGCGAAAAGGCCCUCUCUAAUACAGUGGGCUCAUGACGGUACCGUAAGAAUAAGCACCGGCUAACUACGUGCCAGCAGCCGCCGUAA
rnacentral:rRNA from 1 species